rnacentral:rRNA from 1 species
UAGCAUUAUACCGUGAAACUGCGAAUGGCUCAUUAAAUCAGUUAUCGUUUAUUUGAUAGUACCUUACUACUUGGAUACCCGUGGUAAUUCUAGAGCUAAUACAUGCUAAAAACCCCGACUUCGGGAGGGGUGUGUUUAUUAGAUAAAAAACCAACGCCCUUCGGGGCUCCUUGGUGAUUCAUGAUAACCUCUCAGAUCGCACGGCCUUGCGCCGGCGACGGUUCAUUCAAAUUUCUGCCCUAUCAACUUUCGAUGGUAAGGUAUUGGCUUACCAUGGUUUCAACGGGUAACGGGGAAUUAGGGUUCGAUUCCGGAGAGUGAGCCUGAGAAACGGCUCACACAUCCAAGGAAGGCAGCAGGCGCGCAAAUUACCCAAUCCCGACACGGGGAGGUAGUGACAAUAAAUACUGAUACAGGGCUCUUUUGGGUCUUGUAAUUGGAAUGAGUACAAUUUAAACCUCUUAACGAGGAACAAUUGGAGGGCAAGUCUGGUGCCAGCAGCCGCGGUAAUUCCAGCUCCAAUAGCGUAUAUUAAAGUUGUUGCAGUUAAAAAGCUCGUAGUUGAAUCUUUGGCCUGGCUGGCGGGUCCGCCUCACCGCGUGCACUUGUCCGGCCGGGCCUUCUCUUCUGGAGAACCGCAUGCCCUUCACUGGGCGUGUUGGGGACCAGGACUUUUACUUUGAAAAAAUUAGAGUGUUCAAAGCAGGCCUUUGCUCGAAUACGUUAGCAUGGAAUAAUAGAAUAGGACGUGCGGUCCUAUUUUGUUGGUUUCUAGGACCGCCGUAAUGAUUAAUAGGGACAGUCGGGGGCAUCAGUAUUCAAUUGUCAGAGGUGAAAUUCUUGGAUUUAUUGAAGACUAACUACUGCGAAAGCAUUUGCCAAGGAUGUUUUCAUUAAUCAGUGAACGAAAGUUAGGGGAUCGAAGACGAUCAGAUACCGUCGUAGUCUUAACCAUAAACUAUGCCGACUAGGGAUCGGGCGGUGUUAUCGAUUUGACCCGCUCGGCACCUUGCGAGAAAUCA